rfam:Canis lupus familiaris chromosome 2, whole genome shotgun sequence.
AGGAGGAACAGCCCCAGUGGCGGGGCAGCUCUGGAGCCCUGGAUUCAGCCCCCGCAGGAACUCCGUCUGCAGGGCCUGGAGGCUCCGGGGCGGG